rnacentral:rRNA from 1 species
AACCUGCCUUUCAGAGGGGGACAACAGCUGGAAACGGCUGCUAAUACCGCAUGACGCAUUCGGAUGGCAUCAUCUGAAUGCCAAAGAUUUAUCGCUGAAAGAUGGCCUCGCGUCUGAUUAGAUAGUUGGCGGGGUAACGGCCCACCAAGUCGACGAUCAGUAGCCGGACUGAGAGGUUGACCGGCCACAUUGGGACUGAGAUACGGCCCAG